ensembl:lncRNA
AUUCAGGGACAUGGCGAGGCCCACUUCGCGAGCCCUGGCCGUGAGCACAGCGCGUCUGCAGGUCCUUUCUCCUGCUUUUCCCUUUCCCCUCCUGCUUUUCCUGGCGACAGGGUGAUCAGAGACGGGGAGCGAAGAGCCUCCCAGAGCCCUUCUCCCCUUGGCAGCCUUCGGCCGCAUCCGAGACCUCGGCCCAGCAAACGCAGCCUCCCUGCGUGGCACAGAGCUCUACCGGAAAGACGCAGGUUUGGGAGAGAAGCAAGAUCUUCCGUCCCAAGCGUGGAACGACUGUGCUCAGAACUGGGAACCCAGGACACAGAAUGAAUGGCUGACCUGCCUCGUACGCUGUGGACAUUUGCUCUCGAGGCCCGGGAUGUCCGCUGCCCAGCAGCUGCAAGCCGGCCCGCCUGUGGCACGAUGGGCUCAGGAUUCAUCCAUGCGGGAGACCCUGUCGCAAUUGCCUUCCGUGUCACGGCCGAACGACAUUCCGCCCUGUGGAUAGACCACAUCUCGUUUAUCCAGCGCAUCCGUUGAUGAACUUCUGGGUUCGUCUCCACCUUUGGCCAUUGUGAAGAGUGCUGCUGUGAACAGCAGCGUACAGGGCCGCACCCUGGCUAGGGGUCAAAUCGGAGCUGUAGCCACCGGCCUCCACCACAGCCACAGCAAUGCCAGAUCCAAGCCGGAUCUGUGACCUACACCCCAGCUCCCGGCCACACCAGAUCUUUAACCCACUGAGCAAGGCCAGGGAUUGAACCUGCGUCCUCGGGGAUGUUGGUCAGAUUUGUUUCCAUUGAGCCAUGAUAGGAGCUCCUUAAGUCCUGUUAUAAAGCAAUAGUGGGGUACGGGUGUAAGAAUAACCCCCCAGGUCAAUGGAGCAGGAUGGAGAACCAGGAAUAGAUGCAUGCCUCUAUGACCAGUUGAUUUUUGAAAACCGGGCCCAGAUAAAUCACUGGGAGAAUGAACACAUGCUAAUGGAACAGCUGGAUAUCCACGUGUAAAAAUCCAAACCUCAAUCCCGACCUCACCUCAUACGCAAAUAUUAGCUUGAAGGGGGUCACAGACCCAAACACAAAUGCCCCAAAUGUAAAACUUCUAGAAAACAGCGUGAAAAUACUUUUGACCUUGGGGCAGGCAAAGGGUUCUUAAGAAGACCCCAAGCCACCACCCAACGGGAAGGUGAAACGUGAUGCAGCUGAAAGUCCUGCAACCACCUGUUAAGACGACGAAGAGAGAAGCCAGCCCGGGAGCAGAGCCUUGCCGUCCACACUCUGCUAAGGGACUUGAGCAGAAGAUUACAAAACAUUCUCCCCAUUCAAUAGCAAGAGCCCAAACAACGCGAUUAAAUAUUGGACAAGAGCUUGGAGCAGAGGCGUCGCAGAAGACACGCAGAGACACCCCGUAACCGUUCCCUCUGCCUGAGAUGUCACCCAGUCCUCUGCCUCACCCCCUCCCCGCUUUAUGUCAAGCCCUUCUCAACGAGGCCUUCCCUGACAUUUCAUGAACCACCACCCUCCGCCCCGACGUCUCCCCGCCACACACACUUCACAUCCCUCCCUUUUGUUCUUUUUCCCGGAGCACACUGUAAAAUUUACUUCGUUACUGUGCUUAUUGUUCAUUAUCUGUCUCCCCUGUGAAAACGAGCAAGAAUUCUGUGUCUUCUUUCACUGACGGGUCCCAAGUGUCUGCAUGCCUGCCUGACACCUAGUAGGUGUUCGAAAAAACAUUUCCUUUCUACACGAGCGAAUGAAUACGUGGCUGCUUUUGUGCUUUUGUUUUGUUCUUAGUGUGUUGCGGUUUUGAUGGGUCAGGCGUGAAUGCAUGUUCAUUUAUCCUGCUGCAGACUCACUGCGCAUUUUGAAUCGAAAGACUGCCAUCUAUUAUCAAUUCUGGAAAAUUCUAAGCCAUUAUACCUUCAAGCAGUUCACCCUUCAGCCCCUUUUUUUCCAUUGCAUUCUUCUAGAACAUCAAUUAGAUGACAUAAUACUAUUAAUUCAAUCCUCAUGUCUCUUCAAGUCUUUCUUUUAUUCUGACCUCUUUUUUCUCUGUAUGUCACGAGGUAAUUUCUUUCAUUCUAUCUUUGAAGUCACAAAUUCUGUUUUCAGGCAGGUCUCAGCUGCUGUUUCACCAACUAUUAAGGCCUUAAUACCAUUAGCAAGUUUUCCACAGGUCUGUUUGGUUCUUUUUCAAAUUUGGUCCUUUUGGAUAGUACUUUGCUAAUUUUCCACAAUUCCAAUUCUCAGUUUCAUUUCUUUAAACAUUAAAAAAAAAAGGUUUAU